rnacentral:rRNA from 1 species
UGGGGAAUAUUGCGCAAUGGGCGAAAGCCUGACGCAGCGACGCCGCGUGGGGGAUGAAGCUUCUCGGAGUGUAAACCCCUUUCGACCCGGACGAAUGACCCGCAAGGGUUUGACGGUACGGGUAUAAGAAGCCCCGGCUAACUACGUGCCAGCAGCCGCGGUAAUACGUAGGGGGCCAGCGUUGCUCGGAAUUACUGGGCGUAAAGGGUUCGUAGGUGGUGCGGCAGGUUGGAAGUGAAAUCUCUGGGCUUAACCCAGAGGCUGCUUUCAAAACUGCCGCGCUCGAGUGCGAGAGAGGCCAGUGGAAUUGCAGGUGUAGCGGUGAAAUGCGUAGAUAUCUGCAGGAACACCCGUGGCGAAGGCGGCUGGCUGGAUCGCAACUGACACUGAGGAACGAAAGCUAGGGGAGCAAACAGGAUUAGAUACCCUGGUAGUCCUAGCCCUAAACCAUCAGAACUUGGGGUGGCCCGCGUAGGCGGGUCGUCCCGUAGCUAACGCGUUAAGUUCUGCGCCUGGGGAGUACGGUCGCAAGACUG